GGCUUAUACUACACUAACAACGGCAUUAAGUGCGGCUAACUAUUCAUUAAACAAAAACAACUGAUUAUACUAAACAUAUGUAAAGACUUUAAUUUCGAAUUUUUGCGGCUUCAUAUAUCAACAUUCAUCGAGCACAAAGAAGUACCAGAGAGCAAAUCAAAUGCGACCAGAAGACGAAGAGGCUGGUUUUUGGGAUGGAGCAACUUGCUGGAUGUGUUAAACGAAACAGAAGAUUGUAUGGUAUAUUAGAUUUAAAACUUUACUCAAAUGUUCUAGUAUUGUAGCACGGAAAAUCGUUAGGAGAUUUUAAGUCUUUAUGAUGAGGCUGAUGGCAUUCUAUUAGGGUCUCGCUCAUACAAGGUCGUCGGAAUCACAGAUCUCAAAUUGGGCAGAUUUGUAUAAAUACUGAAGUUUGCAAUGAGCGUUACCGCAGAUAAAUGGGGCCUAAAG